rnacentral:rRNA from 1 species
GGUCAGGCUGAAGACCUUUACCCGAUUAGCUGAGAGGUGGUGCAUGGCCGUCGUCAGUUCGUACUGUGAAGCAUCCUGUUAAGUCAGGCAACGAGCGAGACCCACGUCCACAGUUGCCAGCAUACCCUCCGGGGUGAUGGGUACACUGUGGAGACCGCCGCUGCUAAAGCGGAGGAAGGAGUGGGCAACGGUAGGUCAGUAUGCCCCGAAUCUCCCGGGCUACACGCGGGCUACAAUGGUUGGUACAAUGGGCAUCUACCCCGAAAGGGGAAGGAAAUCUCUUAAAGCCAAUCGUAGUUCGGAUUGAGGGCUGCAACUCGCCCUCAUGAAGCUGGAAUCCGUAGUAAUCGCGUUUCAACAGAACGCGGUGAAUACGUCCCUGCUCCUU